GCAUCAAUGACAACCGAGGUGAAAAUCACAAGCAUCACCCUGUAGCCAGCCCCACAAACAAACAGCCAAGUGAAAGUCACUCAUAUCACAUGGGUAGAUGAGAGCCUCCACACACACUCACAAACCCCACCACACACACAAACAGCUGAAGUGAAAGUCUCAACAACACCCUGGAGGUAGCGGAGAACGUCCACAAACCCCACCACACACACAAACAGCUGAAGUGAAAGUC